rnacentral:lncRNA from 1 species
UCAUUUCCAAACAAGACAGCCGCUUAAGACCAACCAAUACACAAUAUGAACCCUAGAUCUGGGAAUUUUUUCAUCUUUGUGUCUCUUUCAUAUCUAUCUUUAAUUCUCUAAACUGGUUUGUUUGCUCUUUGAUUUGGACGUUGUUAGAAUACAUCUUUAUUUCUAUGUGCCUAAAUCUCAUGUUUAAUUGAUUUUUAUUUUGCCAUACAAGCAAGCUGAGCUUGAAUCACUACCGGAGUUUUCUUUGCCGCCCAAACAUCUUCUAAUGGUAUAUACAAGUCAGCCCAUGAGACCAGACAAGUGUCUGCAUCUGAACCUUUAGUUGGUAUCAAUUUUUUGCCCAUUUCUCUAUAAUGUUGCAUCUGGUUAUUUCCCUUAGGUAUUUUCUUUAGUGGGUAUGUUUUGGAUUUUAUUACAUUGUUAGGUAGUAUACUGAUUACUACUAAUUUAUUCUAAUUUAUCUUAAUUGUACUGAUUUGUUCGCACAUCUCGAUUUUUCAGGUGAUUAGGGUUUUUACAGCUUCUUGAAAUUAAGCUUUCAAUUGGGUUUGAAAUCAAGGUAAAUGGGGUUGUAUUUUGGGAUUGCAGUUGAUGUAUUUUGGGUUCUUCAAUUUAUAUGAAUAUAUUUAUGAGCUAAUAUUUUGGGUUUGUAUUAUCUGGAGGAAUAUAAAUGGAGAGUGUGAGGAAGACUAAGUAAGAAAAAGAGGCUAGGGGAAGAGUGAUUGAGAGAAGGGGGAAAUGAGUAAGAGAGAGAUAGAGAGAUAAUGGGGAGGGGGAGUGAUUUGGUUUUACUUGAUGUGAAUCUUAAGAUUCUUGUAUAAUAAUUUAUAUGUACUUGUAUUGGAAACUCAGGGAAGACUUGAUUUUUGGUUAGUGGUUUUUUUGAUGUUGCAAUUGCCUCAUUGGAGCCUCAUAGUUCUCUGUUUGGAGAAACAGAGAAUUCUCUGUUUGGAGUCAUGAGUAUUGUUUCCCUGUUACUAAAUCUUUUUAAACCUAUUACCUCUUUUAAUCUUCUUUUGUAUCUAAACUGUUACUGGGGUUUGAUAUUAUCAAUAUGCGGUGAUUUGUGUAUCAAUUUGAAAUAUCUUAAUUGAUAAUUACUAAUACUCGUGUAAGUGAUUCUUCUCCUAGGUGUAUGUACUCUCAGAUCCUAAGUAGGUCUUUUCUCUGGAAUGCUAUCUUCACUGUUUCUUUGCUUGGCAUUGUCUUAAUUCAAACACAGAUACAACUUGUUUUGUACACACAGGAUUCAGCCUUUUUUAGCAGAGUUUCAGCUCUUUUGUUCUCUCAAUUCUAUCUCACUUCAAUAUAUUAUAAGAUUGAUAGGAAGUUCUAUUUAUAUACCAGUAGAGGAUUAUGCCAUUGCUUACAUAAUCUAACUAGUUGUUCUCAUCCAUUACAUAAGCUAUAUUUAAUACUAGCCUACUAUAUUGACUGGUGACCAACCUUGAGUUAUUUCCAUCAACUGGUGCGGUAUAUUCUCCACAAGCUUUGAACUGCAUGAAACUAGCAUAUGAGAGUCAGUGUCUAUACUUCAGUUUCAAACUAGCCCGCCUUAUUUCCAAGAAUGUAUAUGCGGUAGAGGUGCUGCUCUUAGUUGAAUUCUGCCAUCUUUAUUUAAGUCUGCCAUAUUUCAUGGGUAUAGUGAUUCUAUUUACUUCCAUUCAUAUUACUCCUUUUAUGACCCAGCUGUUUACAUUAAUGCAAAUUCUUCAAGAAUUUGAAAUUCUAACAAAGAUUGCAUGGAUUGAGGAUGAACAAUACACAUAUAAUAUAUACUAUAUGCAAGGUUAAAUAAACACAAAAUACAUACCCAGUUUAUUAGUAUCUGUCUUCUUUUUAUGUUUGUAUAUAUCCUACUUAUCAUACUCUUCAUCCUAUAUGAUCAUCCUCAAGCUCUGUUUUGUAGUUUGCAUGAAUGGUACAUAAAUUUUACUAGACUAUUGCAUUCAUUAACAUUUUCAAAAGAAAUUGACGGAAAUUUUGUAUUUCUUAUGUCAGGGCUGAUGCAUUCAACUGGAAGGUAAAUGAAUUAUAAAAGAGCGGAGGAAAUAAAGAAACCAAGAUAGAGAAUAUAGAAGAGCUAGCAGUGGAGAGCUCAAAUCAAAUUAAAGAAUCUUUGUCGUAGAUUAAUCUUCAUACCAACCAAGUUAUUGGUGGAUAUUAGAUGGUAUAUGUGGUUUGGUUGUAACACUAGUUAUUAGUAGUGCAUAAUGAUGAUUUUUGUUUACAAAUUUUUGGCUUGUUAAUUACCGUCUCUAGUCUAGUUUAAUCGAGUUAUGUAAAAUCAUUGUCUAUUAUACUUUUAGCUAAUUGGA